GACGUAGGGGGCAAGCGUUGUCCGGAAUUACUGGGCGUAAAGCGCACGUAGGCGGCUUUGUAAGUUAGAGGUGAAAGCCCGGGGCUCAACUCCGGAAUUGCCUUUAAGACUGCAUCGCUCGAAUUGUGGAGAGGUAAGUGGAAUUCCGAGUGUAGAGGUGAAAUUCGUAGAUAUUCGGAAGAACACCAGUGGCGAAGGCGACUUACUGGACACAUAUUGACGCUGAGGUGCGAAAGCGUGGGGAGCAAACAGG
rnacentral:rRNA from 1 species